AAGUCGUAACAAGGUCUCCGUUGGUGAACCAGCGGAGGGAUCAUUACGAGAGAGUUGCAAAACUCCCUAUAACCCUUUGUGAACCUCACCCGUUCCGUAGUGUCUCCGGCAGGUAUCCCCAGAGGAGGGGACUUGUGCCAUCGAGGCGCCUGCCGGAGGGCUCAACACAAACUCUUUUAUGGCGUGUCCGCCACUGCUGUCUGAGGCACUAUAGAAAUAAAUCAAAA
rnacentral:misc_RNA from 1 species